rfam:Oryza glumipatula chromosome 8, whole genome shotgun sequence.
GUUAAGUGCAACCAUGAGUUUUCGUGUCCAACUUUAGUCGUUCGUCUUAUUUGAAAAAAAAAAUUAAUUAGUAUUUUUGUUGAUAUGAGAUGAUAAAACAUGAAUAGUACCUUAUGUGUGACUUAUGUUUUUUAUUUUUUAAAAAAAAAUUCAAAUAAGACGGAUGAUCAAAAUUGGGCACAGAAACUCAUGACUGCACUUAAA